rnacentral:siRNA from 1 species
ACACAAACAAUUAAGGCCGAUCGA